rnacentral:rRNA from 1 species
CAUGGAGGGUGAGAAUCCCGUUCAUGGUUAAUCUUAAGGAUGCUCUACGAUACGUUCUCCAAGAGUCGAGUUGUUUGGGAUUGCAGCUCAAAAUGGGAGGUAAAUUUCUCCUAAGGCUAAAUAUUGGCGAGAGACCGAUAGCGAACAAGUACCGUGAGGGAAAGAUGAAAAGAACUUUGAAAAGAGAGUUAAACAGUACGUGAAAUUGUUGAAAGGGAAACGAUUGAAGUCAGUCAUACCAACGGGAAAUCAACCUCUUGAGUUUGGUCUUGUGGGUUUCGAAGAGUUUAAAAGCCUUCGGAUUUGCGAGGAUUGGGCUCUUUUGGUGUACUUUCUCGUACGGUUAGUCAACAUCGGUUUUGAAUGUCAUAAAAUGACUGGAGGAAUGUGGCUUCGAUCUCGUAUUGAAGUGUUAUAGCCUUUGGUAGAUGUGAUGUUCGAGACCGAGGAUUGCAAUGGAUACCCUUCUGGGCUAUUCGUCUGAUCUCUGAUACGUUGCUUUGAUGUCGAAAGCUUGCUUAUGAUGUUAGGGUAUUACGGUCAAAAGGUUAGAACGGAUUAAAUUCGUUAAGGAUGUUGACGUAAUGG